rnacentral:rRNA from 1 species
UACGAAGGGGGCUAGCGUUGUUCGGAAUUACUGGGCGUAAAGCGCGCGCAGGCGGCUAUCCAAGUCAGUGGUGAAAGCCCGGAGCUCAACUCCGGAACUGCCAUUGAAACUGUUUAGCUGGAGUAUGAGAGAGGUGAGUGGAAUUCCCAGUGUAGAGGUGAAAUUCGUAGAUAUUGGGAAGAACACCGGUGGCGAAGGCGGCUCACUGGCUCGUAACUGACGCUCAGGCGCGACAGCGUGGGGAUCAAACAGG